AUUGAACGCUGGCGGCAGGCCUAACACAUGCAAGUCGAGCGGAGCGGCGUACGGGUGAGUAAUGCCUAGGAAUCUGCCUGGUAGUGGUGGAUAACGUCCGGAAACGGGCGCUACUACCGCAUACUAUCAGAUGAGCCUAGAUCGGAUUAGCUGGUUGGUGAGGUAAAGGCCUACAAAGGCGACGAUCCGUAACUGGUCUGAGAGGAUGAUCAGUCACACUGGAACUGGGACACGGUCCAUACUCCGACGGGAGGCAGCAGUGGGGAAUAUUGGACAAUGGGCGAAAGCCUGAUCCAGCCAUGCCGCGUGAGUGAAGAAGGGCUUCGGAUUGUAAAGGACUUUAAGUUGGGAGGCGUUACCAACAGAAUAAGCACCGGCUAACGUCGUGCCAGCCGCCGCGGUAAUAC
rnacentral:rRNA from 1 species